rnacentral:rRNA from 1 species
CGUUCAAAUUGCGGGAAAUUCCUAAAGCUCUGUGUUACCGUCCUCGAGUGUGAAAGCGCUCCUGGACACCGGGUUAAUUGCCCUGGGUAUGGUGAUAAGACCAGAGAUGUCACAAUGGAUAAUCCGCAGCGAAGUCCUCUUGUUGCUUGAUGGCAACAGUGGAGCGCGUUCAGAGACUAGAUGUUCGUGGGCUGCCGGUUGGCGGCUUAAGGUAUAGUCCUUCCCGACUCGAAAGGGUCUGGGGUUAUAAGUAGAUGUUCUGGGCCGCACGCGCGCUACACUGACAAAGCCAGCGAGUCUAUCACCUUGGCCGGAAGGUCCGGGUAAUCUUGUGAAACUUUGUCGUGCUGGGGAUAGAGCAUUGCAAUUAUUGCUCUUCAACGAGGAAUGCCUAGUAAGCGCAAGUCAUCAGCUUGCGUUGAUUACGUCCCUGCCCUUUGUACACACCGCCCGUCGCUACUACCGAUUGAAUGGCUUAGUGAGGUCUUCGGAUCGGCGUU